UUUUUUUUUUUUUUUUUUUUUUUUUUUUUUUUUUUUUUUUUUUUUUUUUUUUUUUUUUUUUUUUUUUUUUUUUUUUUUUUUUUUUUUUUUUUUUUUUUUUUUUUUUUUUUUUUUUUUUUUUUUUU
rnacentral:misc_RNA from 1 species